AGAGUUUGAUCCUGGCUCAGAACGAACGCUGGCGGCGUGGCUAACCCAUGCAAGUCGCGCGCGAACGAACCCUUCGGGGUCUUAUUAGCGCGGCGGAACGGUGAGUAAUGUAUGGGCAACGUACCCUGGGCACGAGGAUAGACCAUCGAAAGGUGGCGUAAUACUCGAUGAGACCACACGGGGGCAUCCCCGAGCGGUCAAAGGGCGGGGACCCCUUCGGGGGCCUGCCGGCCCGGGAGCGACCCAUAUCCCAUCAGCUUGUUGGUAGGGUAACGGCCUACCAAGGCAACGACGGGUAGCCGGACUGAGAGGUCGACCGGCCACAUUGGGACUGAGACACUGCCCAGACUCCUACGGGAGGCUGCAGGGACGAAUAUUCCGCAAUGGGCGAAAGCCUGACGGAGCGACGCCGCGUGUGGGAAGAAGCCUUUCGGGGUGUAAACCACUGUCAGGGGCCACCAAGCAAAUCCGCCUAAUACGCGGAGGCGUUGAGGAACCCCAAAGGAAGCCACGGCUAACUCCGUGCCAGCAGCCGCGGUAAGACGGAGGUGGCAAGCGUUGUUCGGAAUCACUGGGCUUAAAGAGCACGUAGGCGGCCUGCCAAGCGUCUUGUGAAAUCCCUCGGCUCAACCGAGGAAUUGCUCGGCGAACUGCUUCUCUUGAGGCGGGUAGAGGUGAGUGGAACGACUGGUGGAGCGGUGAAAUGCGUAGAUAUCAGUUGGAACGCCGGUGGCGAAAGCGACUCACUGGAUCCGUCCUGACGCUGAGGUGCGAAAGCGUGGGUAGCGAACAGGAUUAGAUACCCUGGUAGUCCACGCAGUAAACGAUGGACACUUGGUAUAGGGAGUAUCGACCCUCUCUGUGCCUUAGUUAACGCGUUAAGUGUCCCGCCUGGGGAGUACGGCCGCAAGGCUA
rnacentral:rRNA from 1 species